GCAAUCUCUUUCCUAAUUAGCGACUUCUACCAAUGUCUCAGAAAUUGCCUUAAUUCUAAGAUCAAAUAUAGUGGAUUAUAAUUUGCUGGUACCUCCCUGGUCUCUUUUUAAAAAAUUUAAAUUUGUAUCUCUCUAAGAUCUUUGUAUUUUUUUAUGUCAAGAGCACUAUUAAACAUCUCCAUUAUUGGAGUGUGAUCUCUAUGAAAUAGCAGCAUGAGUGGCCAGCUGUGAUUAGAACAGCCAAACUUCGGGAGGAAAGUUGCCACUUUCAUCUAAUUAAGAGAGAGGAGAGUUAUUAUUUUUUUUUAAUAUACAACUUUUCAUAACAGCCAUGAAAGUAUGGUGGUUAAUGAAAGUGCAUAAUUGCUAACAAAAAUCAUUUUGCAGCAGUAGUUUUGGGAAUAGCUGAGAGUCUUAUGAAUGAGGUAAACAUGGAGUAGCCGAGAGUAUGUUUGAGUAGGGGUCUGCAUAAGAGAGGCUUCUGUCAGCUAGAUCAGGCAACAUUCAGCUGUUUUUCAGGUUGUCUAAUACAUUCAAAGAGAAAAUAAAAUGAGAAAGUUAAUAUCAGAUUUUUGACAUUGCAGUGGUGGUCUAUGAGAUCUGCAUGUACACAGGCACUAAACCAGGGGCAGAGACAGAGGCUAACAUACUUAUCAACCUCAUUGGCACCAGAGGAGAUUCUGGGAACCAAAAGCUUCAUCAAUCCAAAAAUAACAAAGUCAAGUUUCGGCAUGGACAGGUUGAUAUUUUUCCAUCAAAGUGGUAUCUCUUGGAAAAUUGAAGAAAGUUCUGAUGAGUCAUGAUGGGACAGGUCCAGAUGGCUAGAUGAGUACCAAAAUGAUGGCAGGACUGAACGAGAAUUGUUUGCGGAAAGUAGCUACAUGCAGGAGAGACUGAAUCAGUGGCCUCCUGAUGGGGCCCACAUGGGUCUGUCUUUCCUUGUGCUUUCGGAAGGCUAUUGAUCUGAUGGAGAUAGUGUGUUUGUCCUUCCCUCAUACUGAAGCAAACACCUGGGAAGGGUCACAUCUACUGGACUCAUCCAUUGCUUUUGACAACUUCAAAAGUUGGGAGAAGAAUCAGUCAACAACUGACAGAGAUUAGUCUAUGAUGGCUGGGAUAGGUACAUACCUUUUUUCUUCAUAUGGGUGAAAUAGGUGAAGGGGAUUAAGAGUACACUUAUGAUGAGCAUUGAAAAAUGUAUAGAACUGUUGAAUCACUAUGUUGUACAACCUGAAACUAAUAUAGCACUGUAUGUUAACUACACUGGAAUUAAAAAAAAAUAAAUAUUGUUUCUACUUCUCAUUACUUUUUAGCAAAUCUGACACCUACUGUUUACUGAAAUGUUUAGGUGGCUUUAGUAGAAGGUAACUGAAGAGGUACAUAACAUUUGAUUACUGUAAAACACUGUUAGACAACAUAUGUUAGUUUUAAAGUAGAAGUCUUAUUCUUAGAUAAUGGUAUAUCUCUCUUAGUAUUGGUGGUAAUCUGGGAAACGAACUAGGGGUGUUGGAAGGGGAGGAGGGCGGGGGGUGGGAGUGAAUGGGUGACGGGCACUGGGGGUUAUUCUGUAUGUUAGUAAAUUGAACACCAAUAAAAAAUAAAUUAAAAAAAAUAAAAAUAAAGAAUAAAAUGUAAAAAAGAAAAAAACAGAUUGGGUUAAAUCACAUUCUUACUGCAUUUCACGCCAAUUCUUGUCACCUUGGUCACUGGGGCUGUGGUGGACAGCCACCGAGCACUGUGGAGGGGACACAUAUGGAGGCAGACAUCUGUCCAUUUGUCGUUUCCUUAAAUUAGCCUCAAAUACUUUCCACUCAGUGCCACAAGCAGCUUCUUCUAAACCUUCAAAUUGGCACAUUGAGGUAAAACCCAUCUGCCAGCCUAGACGAGGCCACGGCCUGGCUUUGAUAUCAAAGAGAUCUGUGUUUUUUUGUUUUUUGUUUUUUGUUUUUAAGAUCUGUGUUUGAAUCAGUUCUCCCACUGUGAAAUGGAUAGUAUCAUCACAUUUUGCAGAUGAAGAGCUGAGACUUGGAAGGGUUUGCCUAAGCUCAGAAAAUUAAAUAAAUAGGAGACCAGAAUUUGAACCCAGUGGUCUAGUUCCACAGCCCCUAUGCAUACACACAGUGACCCUAUACCUACUGCCUUCCUCCACCUGGUUUCAGGUAUCCCAUGAGAUCACACAGAUGGUCCCACAUAGUCAAAUCUUGCACACCACCUUCAUGUUAUUGUCAUAUGUAGGUACCACCUGCACCAGUAUAUUCUUAGCAUUUUUUUUCCUUUAAACUCUCUUUAAAUCAGGUCAUUUGGGGCUAAAGGGAACUUAGCCUCAUUCUAAACUAUGUUAAUAACAUCCAUGAAAUCAUUGAUGUUGUCAUAUUUUUCCGUAAAACACAUUAAAAUGAAUUUGUAUCUAACAAAAAUUUUAGAUUAUUCUAUAUGUUCCCUAAAAUUAUCUUUUAAAUGCCCAGUGGUCCUGGCAUAUAGUGAUCAGUAAAUAAUGUUUCAAUAAAUAAAAGCCAUCAUUGUCAUGGUUUACCUUUUACCAAUCCAUGACUAAAAACUAAUCCAGUCCUUACAUCUUAAUCUAAUUAAAUCCUGUACAUUUUACAUCUAAGUUUGAAAACACAUCAAGAAUAUAGCUUUAGUGAUUUGAAGUUAAAAGUAAUUUUUUUUCCCCUAAAGUGGUCAACAGACCACCUUAGGGGUGAGAUAGUUGAUAACAUUUCAGCAGGCUUUGGGAAAGUGUGAUGAACUACAUUUAGCGCUUGAUAAUGCUUAUUGCAUGGUGCCUGUACAAAGAAGAUAGUGAAUAAACAGUCAUUUAUUAAGCAGAGUUGUUAAGCAUCUCUUGUGUGCCAGAUGCAGAGUCAGGUAUUGGGGAUAAACUGGCAAACAGCUCAGUUAUUUUCCCUGCCCUCAGAGGGGCUUCUGUCAGAGUAGGGAACUGAGUGAAUAAUGCAUAAUUAAACAUAGAUCACUAUCGCUCACUGCUAAAUUGCAAGCUCAUUGGAGGUAGAGAUCAUUUUGUGCUCCUUUGUAUAUUUAAUUUUUGGCAUGCUGCCUGACUCAUAGUAAGUGCUCUGGGUCUAUUAAAUGCAUGAAUCACCCCUGCCUUAAAUUACAAUACACCUUUUAAGUGAUUAGAAUAUUAAAUUAUACCUGAUUCAGCUCAUAGUUGUAUGGAAUAUGUACUCACAAAUAAUUGCACUCUAUUCCUCUAUUUUUACAAACUUUUCUACAACAACAUGUUUCAAUACUGAACAUAAUCCUACCCCUCUCCCCCCACCAUACACAUUAGAGUUGGAUGUGUCCCAAUUAUAUCCAGGUGCAUAUUUACAAUCUUUCUCCUGAGAAGAGAAGUGGUGUAAAUACAAAUUUGAUCCAUUUUGUGUUGGUUCUUGUUUACUUCAUUAUCAUAGCCCUUGUCUUCUUGAACAUGGUCCAGAUUCUGGGACUACCUUAGUGCAACCCCUUUAUAUAAUGAAUAAACCCUGAAAACUGGAAGAAGGAGAGAGAAUCUGUGUUUAUUUCUGAGUUUGCUGAAAAGACAAAAAUUAACAGAGUACAUAGUAGAAAGAAGGUUUUUCCUGUGGAGAGAAUGAUGUAAACUCCUAAUCCAGAAACCUGCCAUGUGUAUCCAUUGGAAAUGUUGAAGAAUGGAAAACAAGUGCAAACACAAAGGCCAAAGCCAGAAUGUGGCUCAUUUUAUGGGGUACCAUGAUUGUCUAGCACAACCAUGGCACUUUUUCAUGUUUUCCUGUUUCUUGGGCAAAGUCAAGAAGUGAAGAGCACUUUUACCUGAUGGGAUAAAUCUUAUAUUUUAACCAGAAAAUUAUAGUAAUGGUUCUAUGAUAAUGUGGCUGGUCCUCAGGUUCUAAUGUGUUUUCAUAUAAACUUGUCAAGCAGACUCAGGUGAAUAUUUAAGUGAUGCAUUUGUUAUACCAAAAGAUAAUGCAACUUCUUUGUGACUUUAGGUAAUAUAGUAUCUUGGAGAGCUAAGUUAAUUGUUCUUUAAUAGGGAGAGAGGCUUUUCAGAAAGCCUACCAGAGUUAGGUUUAUCCUACAGUUAUCAGGACUGAUAACACUUUUGAAUAGUUACAUUUUAAAUUACUUUUAGAAGCAGAGAAACACAGCAAAGUAGGUCCUCCUUCAUGCUGAUGUUUUUAAAAGAUUCAUUUUAAUUCCCUCAAGGCAGUGGAAUAAAGUAUACUAAGCAAAGGCCCUUAAGUUCAGAAAUUAAUCUUGGUUCUCUACCACAAUGAGUCUGAAGUUCUAGGACUAUAAAUCAGCUUUCCUGGGCUCUUUCUGUGCCUCUGUGACAGAGACUGUAGGGUACCAAUUAAACUGAUUACUAAGUUUAUAAAUAUGCAAAAAAUGAUUAUAUAAAGUAAACAUUAAUAUGUAGCAGCUCAGCCUUAUCAGUGGAUUGAAACCUUGCAAAUACACCAUUCUCUGGACCUUAACCCAUGUCAUUUAUUUUGCUUGAAAGGUACUUCCCACCUUGUCUGGAAAACUCCUACCCAACUUCUAAGACCACACUUGAAGUUCUCAUCAUCAGCCAACGUUAAGGCAUCCCAUCUUCUGUGUCCAUAUUACUUUGUCCUUCCUCUCUAAUUGUAAUUACCAUUUCUAUAGUGGGCAUAUGUCCUAGUUUACAAACUCAGAAGUGUGACAAAUGGUGAUACUUCUUAUUU
rnacentral:lncRNA from 1 species